rnacentral:rRNA from 1 species
UACAGAGGUCUCAAGCGUUGUUCGGAUUCAUUGGGCGUAAAGGGUGCGUAGGCGGCGCGGUAAGUCGGGUGUGAAAGUCUCGGAGCUUAACUCCGAAACUGCAUUCGAUACUGCCGUGCUUGAGGACUGGAGAGGAGACUGGAAUUUACGGUGUAGCUGGUGAAAUGCGUAGAGUAAUCGUAAGGAAGACCAGUGGCUGA